GGGCGCGUAGCUCAGCGGGAGAGCACCUCCCUGACACGGUGGGGGGCACAGGUUCAAUCCCUGUCGCGCCCACCA
rnacentral:tRNA from 1 species